ACUCCUACGGGAGGCAGCAGUGGGGGAUAUUGCACAAUGGAGGAAACUCUGAUGCAGCGACGCCGCGUGAGGGAAGAAGGUUUUCGGAUUGUAAACCUCUGUCUUCGGGGACGAAACAAAUGACGGUACUCGAGGAGGAAGCCACGGCUAACUACGUGCCAGCAGCCGCGGUAAUACGUAGGUGGCAAGCGUUGUCCGGAAUUACUGGGUGUAAAGGGAGCGCAGGCGGAACUGCAAGUUGGGUGUUUAAUCUACGGGCUCAACCCGUAUCAGCAUUCAAAACUGUGGUUCUUGAGUAAUGCAGAGGUAGGCGGAAUUCCCGGUGUAGCGGUGGAAUGCGUAGAUAUCGGGAGGAACACCAGUGGCGAAGGCGGCCUACUGGGCAUCAACUGACGCUGAGGCUCGAAAGCAUGGGUAGCAAACAGGAUUAGAUACCCUGGUAGUCCAUGCUGUAAACGAUGAUUACUAGGUGUGGGGAG
rnacentral:rRNA from 1 species